rnacentral:rRNA from 1 species
CCUACGGGUGGCAGCAGUGAGGAAUAUUGGUCAAUGGACGCAAGUCUGAACCAGCCAUGCCUCGUGCAGGAAGACGGCCCUAUGAGUUGUAAACUGCUUUUGUACGAGGGUAAACGCAGAUACGCGUAUCUGUCUGAAAGUAUCGUACGAAUAAGGAUCGGCUAACUACGCGCCAGCAGCCGCGGUAAUACGGAGGGUUCAAGCGUUAUCCGGAUUUAUUGGGUUUAAAGGGUGCGUAGGCGGUCGGAUAAGUUAGGGGUGAAAUCCCGGGGCUCAACGUCGGAAUUGCCUCUGAUACUGGUCGGCUAGAGAGUAGUAGCGGUAGGCGGAAUGUAUGGUGUAGCGGUGAAAUGCUUAGAGAUCAUACAGAACACCAAUUGCGAAGGCAGCUUACCAGGCUACUUCUGACGUUGAGGCACGAAAGCGUGGGGAGCAAACAGGAUUAGAUACCCGAGUAGUC